rnacentral:rRNA from 1 species
GACGAACGCUGGCGGCGUGCCUAAUACAUGCAAGUUGAGCGCUGAAGGUUGGUACUUGUACCGACUGGAUGAGCAGCGAACGGGUGAGUAACGCGUGGGGAAUCUGCCUUUGAGCGGGGGACAACAUUGGGAAACGAAUGCUAAUACCGCAUAAAAACUUUAAACACAAGUUUUAAGUUUGAAAGAUGCAAUUGCAUCACUCAAAGAUGAUCCCGCGUUGUAUUAGCUAGUUGGUGAGGUAAAGGCUCACCAAGGCGAUGAUACAUAGCCGACCUGAGAGGGUGAUCGGCCACAUUGGGACUGAGACACGGCCCAAACUCCUACGGGAGGCAGCAGUAGGGAAUCUUCGGCAAUGGACGAAAGGCUGACCGAGCCACGCCGCGGGAGUGAAGAAGGUUUUCGGAUCGGAAAACUCUGUUGGUAGAGAAGAAAGUUGGUGAGAGUGGAAAGCUCAUCAAGUGACGGUAACUACCCAGAAAGGGACGGCUAACUACGUG